rnacentral:rRNA from 1 species
UACGUAGGGUGCAGGCGUUAAUCGGAAUUACUGGGCGUAAAGCGUGCGCAGGCGGUUUCUUAAGUCAGAUGUGAAAGCCCCGGGCUUAACCUGGGAACUGCGCUUGAGACGGGAUGGCUAGAGAUCGGGAGAGGAGAGUGGAAUUCCCAGUGUAGAGGUGAAAUUCGUAGAUAUUGGGAAGAACACCGGUGGCGAAGGCGGCUCUCUGGACCGAUACUGACGCUGAGGCGCGAAAGCGUGGGGAGCAAACAGG